rnacentral:lncRNA from 1 species
GCAGGAAAUAUAUGACACCACUCUUAUUGGCACAAUUAUACGCAUAUUUGCCAGCCCAUUGAGCCACGCAACGAAAAAAAUGACACCAGAAGCUCCUAGAAACAGCGUGGAUGCAAAUCUUCAACGUAUCGCCAAUACUCAGUAAUCCAGAAUUCCAGCGCAAUUUACAAAACCAAUAAUGUAUUUACAGGGUCAAAUCAUAAAUUGCAGGAGAAGAUUCAACAAGGUUCAAAGAAGCAAAGAAAAAUUUCUGGCACUUCUGGCCAGUCUGGAGAACAAUUGCCUCCAAACUAAACUGGUCUUCAACAUUCUAUGCCAAAACACAACGAACGUCUAAUGCCCUGUGAGUGGAUACCAGAAUGACACCGCUACGUGCUCAACUUCUGCGAAGCCGAGGAUGAAGGAGACUUUAGAUCGAGGUUUGGGGCAGAAUCCUGCAGUAACGAAGCAUAUAGUCAGAUGAUAACGUAUAUCAGUUUGAC